AACGAUGAGUGCUAAGUGGUAAGGGGGUUUCCGCCCCUUAGUGCUGCAGCUAACGCAUUAAGCACUCCCGCCUGGGGAGUACGACCGCAAGGUUGAAACUCAAAGGAAUUGACGGGGACCCGCACAAGCGGUGGAGCAUGUGGUUUAAUUUGAAGCAACGCGAAGAACCUUACCAAAUCUUGACAUCCUUUGACAACUCUAGAGAUAGAGCCUUCCCCUUCGGGGGACAAAGUGACAGGUGGUGCAUGGUUGUCGUCAGCUCGUGUCGUGAGAUGUUGGGUUAAGUCCCGCAACGAGCGCAACCCUUAAGCUUAGUUGCCAUCAUUAAGUUGGGCACUCUAAGUUGACUGCCGGUGACAAACCGGAGGAAGGUGGGGAUGACGUCAAAUCAUCAUGCCCCUUAUGAUUUGGGCUACACACGUGCUACAAUGGACAAUACAAAGGGCAGCGAAACCGCGAGGUCAAGCAAAUCCCAUAAAGUUGUUCUCAGUUCGGAUUGUAGUCUGCAACUCGACUACAUGAAGCUGGAAUCGCUAGUAAUCGUAGAUCAGCAUGCUACGGUGAAUACGUUCCCGGGUCUUGUACACACCGCCCGUCACACCACGAGAGUUUGUAACACCCGAAGCCGGUGGAGUAACCUUUUAGGAGCUAGCCGUCGAAGGUGACAAAUUGUGG
rnacentral:rRNA from 1 species